rnacentral:tRNA from 1 species
GAGGGUAUAGCUCAGUGGCAGAGUGCUUCCUUAGCAUGCAUGAGGUCCUGGGUUCAAUCCCCAGUACAUCCA